rnacentral:rRNA from 1 species
UACAGAGGUGCCAAGCGUUAGGCGGAAUCACUGGGCUUAAAGCGCGUGUAGGCGGGUCGUUAAGUGUCCGAGUGAAAUCCCACGGCUCAACCGUGGAACUGCCGGGCAUACUGGCGAUCUUGAGGCAUUCAGGGGCGAGCGGAACAAAUGGUGGAGCGGUGAAAUGCGUAGAUAUCAUUGGAACGCCAAUGGUGAAAACAGCUCGCUGGGAAUGAUCUGACGCUGAGACUGCGAAGCCAGGAGAGGAACGGAUGAGAAC